rnacentral:lncRNA from 1 species
GAUGGGAUUAAAAUACCUCUUUAAUUAUGACGAAUGUGGCGAACACGACAAUGUACCGGCACAGACAAUGAUGAUGAGUAAGCUGAUGACGAUGUACCGCUGUGAGAAAAAAUAUAUUACUAAAAAAAUAUAGAUAAAAAUAAAAUGGGAUACUACUAAAAAAAAUAUAUACUUUAUAUGUAAGAAACGUAUAGGCGAAAGUGAGAAAAUACCAAAAAAGAUAUGCUAACAAAAAAAAUAUGAUGAAUAUAUUGUGUGAUAAAAAUUAUGAUGAGAUAAGAUUGGAUAGUGUAGAUAUGAUAUGCGAGAGUAUUAAGAUAUAUUCUAUAUUUGAGAAUGCGGAGAAUAUUUUGGUAGGUAUUAUUUAAAUAUUGAAUAUUUUGCUAAAAAAAUUUAAAAUUAUAUUUAAUUAACGAUUUAGUUUUGAUUGGGCGGGUAUUAAUUUUUUUUAGAAAUAUUUUAUGCUUUUAUGACGCAUUAUUUAAAUAUUGAAUAUUUUAGUAAAGAAAUUUAAAAUUGUAUUUAAUUAACUAUUUAGUUUUGAUUGAGCGGGUAUUAAUUUUUUUUAGAAAUAUUCUAUGUUUUUAUGACGUAUUAUUUAAAUAUUGAAUAUUUUACUAAAAAAUUUAAAAUUAUAUUUAAUUAACGAUUUAGUUUUAAUUUUGGGGUAUUAAAAUUUUUUUAGCAAUAUUUAA